UGGUUAUUGUGGAGGCGUCACACCCGUUCCCUUUCCGAACACGGAAGUUAAGCCCUCUUACGCCGAUGAUACUGCGCCCCUAAGGCGCGGGAAAGUAGGUUGCCGCCAGGC
rnacentral:rRNA from 1 species